GACGAACGCUGGCGGCGUGCUUAACACAUGCAAGUCGAACGGAAAGGCCCUGCUUUUGUGGGGUGCUCGAGUGGCGAACGGGUGAGUAACACGUGAGUAACCUGCCCUUGACUUUGGGAUAACUUCAGGAAACUGGGGCUAAUACCGGAUAGGAGCUCCUGCUGCAUGGUGGUGGUUGGAAAGUUUCGGCGGUUGGGGAUGGACUCGCGGCUUAUCAGCUUGUUGGUGGGGUAGUGGCUUACCAAGGCUUUGACGGGUAGCCGGCCUGAGAGGGUGACCGGCCACAUUGGGACUGAGAUACGGCCCAGACUCCUACGGGAGGCAGCAGUGGGGAAUAUUGCACAAUGGGCGGAAGCCGGAUGCAGCAACGCCGCGUGCGGGAUGACGGCCUUCGGGUUGUAAACCGCUUUCGCCUGUGAUGAAGCGUGAGUGACGGUAAUGGGUAAAGAAGCAACGGCUAACUACGUG
rnacentral:rRNA from 1 species